UACGUAGGGGGCAAGCGUUAUCCGGAUUUACUGGGUGUAAAGGGAGCGUAGACGGCGUGCCAAGUCUGAUGUGAAAGGCCGGGGCUCAACCCCGGGACUGCAUUGGAAACUGGCAUGCUAGAGUGCCGGAGGGGCAAGCGGAAUUCCUAGUGUAGCGGUGAAAUGCGUAGAUAUUAGGAAGAACAUCGGUGGCGAAGGCGACUUUCUGGACUGUAACUGACGUUGAGGCACGAAAGUGUGGGGAGCAGACAGG
rnacentral:rRNA from 1 species